CUCCAUCAUCUUCUCUUCUAAGUUCUCUACCAAAAAAAAAAAAUCUUCUCUUCUAAGUUUUACUUCCGAAUAUUCUAGUUUUUGAAUAAUGUCAAAGACGACUGUAUUCAAGUAUGCCAAGUGUCCCGAAAAAGAAUGGCGGAAAGGAUUCCGAUGUGCGGCUAGUUUUCCAGGGGUUAAUACUAUAAGUUGUCAUGUGCCAAACAUGUUUGGAAUAAAAGGAGAAAUUGAUGAAGAAAAACUACUGAUCGAAUUGUCAAAAAUUCUUAAAUCUGUCGAAAUCAUUGAUCAUUCGAAAUAUCCCAAAGAUCAUUUUUUUCUUCCUAUCUGUAAAUAGUUUAGGAUAAUAGUAUAAAAUAAAGUCGUUUACAAAAAAAAUAUA